GGUCUUGAAGCUGGUUGCCCCUGGUUUGGCUCGACAACGGAAGCGAGGGGCGCGGGUUCGACUCCCGCCAAGACCA
rnacentral:tRNA from 1 species